rnacentral:tRNA from 1 species
AUUUAAAUAGUUUAAGAAAACUUUGAUUUGUGGUGUCAAGAAUAUAUUUAAUAAUAUUUUAAAUU